ACUCCUACGGGAGGCAGCAGUGGGGAAUAUUGCACAAUGGGCGCAAGCCUGAUGCAGCCAUGCCGCGUGUGUGAAGAAGGCCUUCGGGUUGUAAAGCACUUUCAGUCGUGAGGAAGGUAGUGUAGUUAAUAGCUGCAUUAUUUGACGUUAGCGACAGAAGAAGCACCGGCUAACUCCGUGCCAGCAGCCGCGGUAAUACGGAGGGUGCGAGCGUUAAUCGGUAAUUACUGGGACGUAAAGCGCAUGCAGGUGGUUUGUUAAGUCAGAUGUGAAAGCCCGGGGCUCAACCUCGGAAUAGCAUUUGAAACUGGCAGACUAGAGUACUGUAGAGGGGGUAGAAUUUCAGGUGUAGCGGUGAAAUGCGUAGAGAUCUGAAGGAAUACCGGUGGCGGAAGGCGGCCCCCUGGACAGAUACUGACACUCAGAUGCGAAAGCGUGGGAGCAAACGAGGAUUAGAUACCCCUGGUAGCGACUGA
rnacentral:rRNA from 1 species